rnacentral:rRNA from 1 species
AGAGUUUGAUCCUGGCUCAGAGCGAACGUUAGCGGCGGGCCUAACACAUGCAAGUCGAACGAGAAUGUAGGCUUCGGUCUACUAGUAAAGUGGCGGACGGGUGCGUAACACGUGGGUAAUCUACCUUCCGGCGGGGGACAACAGUCCGAAAGGAUUGCUAAUACCGCGUACGUCAGCGGCGCCUACGGGCGCUGUUGGGAAAGAUGGCCUCUCCUUGGAAGCUAUCACCGGAAGAUGAGCCCGCGUCCCAUCAGCUAGUUGGUGAGGUAACGGCUCACCAAGGCUUAGACGGGUAGCUGGUCUGAGAGGAUGAUCAGCCACACUGGGACUGCGACACGGCCCAGACUCCUACGGGAGGCAGCAGUGGGGAAUAUUGGGCAAUGGGCGAAAGCCUGACCCAGCCACGCCGCGUGAGUGAUGAAGGCCUUCGGGUCGUAAAGCUCUGUGGGGAGGGACGAACAAGCCUGGGGCUAAUCACCCGGGACCUGACGGUACCUCCUUAGCAAGCACCGGCUAACCCUGUGCCAGCAGCCGCGGUAAUACAGGGGGUGCAAACGUUGCUCGGAAUCAUUGGGCGUAAAGCGCACGUAGGCGGUUCGUUAUGUCGGAUGUGAAAGCCCUUGGCUUAACCGAGGAAGUGCAUCCGAAACUGGCGAGCUAGAGUACUAAAGAGGAUCGCGGAAUUCCCGGUGUAGAGGUGAAAUUCGUAGAUAUCGGGAGGAACACCGGUGGCGAAGGCGGCGAUCUGGGUAGAUACUGACGCUGAGGUGCGAAAGCGUGGGGAGCAAACAGGAUUAGAUACCCUAGUAGUCC